rnacentral:rRNA from 1 species
UAGCGGCGGACGGGUGAGUAACACGUGGGUAACCUGCCUGUAAGACUGGGAUAACUCCGGGAAACCGGGGCUAAUACCGGAUGGUUGUUUGAACCGCAUGGUUCAAACAUAAAAGGUGGCUUCGGCUACCACUUACAGAUGGACCCGCGGCGCAUUAGCUAGUUGGUGAGGUAACGGCUCACCAAGGCAACGAUGCGUAGCCGACCUGAGAGGGUGAUCGGCCACACUGGGACUGAGACACGGCCCAGACUCCUACGGGAGGCAGCAGUAGGGAAUCUUCCGCAAUGGACGAAAGUCUGACGGAGCAACGCCGCGUGAGUGAUGAAGGUUUUCGGAUCGUAAAGCUCUGUUGUUAGGGAAGAACAAGUACCGUUCGAAUAGGGCGGUACCUUGACGGUACCUAACCAGAAAGCCACGGCUAACUACGUGCCAGCAGCCGCGGUAAUACGUAGGUGGCAAGCGUUGUCCGGAAUUAUUGGGCGUAAAGGGCUCGCAGGCGGUUUCUUAAGUCUGAUGUGAAAGCCCCCGGCUCAACCGGGGAGGGUCAUUGGAAACUGGGGAACUUGAGUGCAGAAGAGGAGAGUGGAAUUCCACGUGUAGCGGUGAAAUGCGUAGAGAUGUGGAGGAACACCAGUGGCGAAGGCGACUCUC